GCAAGGGCACUACAGCAUCGGACAGGACUACCGCCAAAACAUGACCAUCGGUUGCUUGUUCUCUUCCGAGUACAGAGUCAACAACGCGUCGCUGACGACGUCUCUUCUGACGUUCCUGCAGAAUGUGACAGAGUGUCGCGCUUGUAAUCUGGACGCCAAUAUCACAACUCAACUGAAUCGCAUAUUCCCGAAUUCAUCAUCCUUUGAGAUUUCACAGUUUCAAUGGAACACAACGGCCGCGCGCUACGAGGCUGUCAUGAGG
rnacentral:lncRNA from 1 species